AAGAGUUAAUCAAUUCACUAGGGUUUCAGAGAAGGGUCAAAAAUGACCCUUUUCCUGAUUAUGAGAAAUUCAUCUGUUGCUUUUGAGUGCUACCUUAAACUCUUUUUGACAGGUUCAACUGAAGUUACAAUUUUUAAGCAUCGCCUUUUUUUUCCCUCCUGAUAAAAAACAAUAAGUAAAUAAAAAUAAAAAUUAUUCUGGCUCAAGAGUGUGAACUUUGUAAAUAGUGGAUGGUUGAAAAUUAUGCUAUUUUUAUCCAUUUAAUUUUAAUGAGCAACAGGUGUAGUACAGAAAUUACCCGUUUAUUUCUUGUGAGCAAAUAGAUAUUAAUAUGUUCUAACCAGAGUGUAUUCUUUCCUAGUUUUCAAUGACUCAGAUCUUAAUGUUUUCGUUUUCUUCAUGAAAUUUGAAAUUUUCAUUAUUAUAAUAGGUACUUGUUACCAUAGAUUGCCACAUUCACAAUAGUCACAGUCUCCAUUUCCAUUAUAUGUUUGAUUCAUGGAAAAUGCAAAUGGAAUGAAAAGAAAAUAAUAAAGAUGAUUCAAAUUGCUUAAGAAAACUAUGGUUCAAGAGCAUUCCUUCCCUUGUAAGAAAUUAUGUUCAUAACUUUUGCUGUUGAUAAAGUAGCAAUUUGGCAUCCAUU
rnacentral:misc_RNA from 1 species